rnacentral:rRNA from 1 species
CAGUCGCCACGGUAAUACGAAGGGUGCAAGCGUUAAUCGGAAUUACUGGGCGUAAAGCGUGCGUAGGCGGUUUGUUAAGUCUGCUGUGAAAUCCCCGGGCUCAACCUGGGAAUGGCAGUGGAUACUGGCAAGCUAGAGUGUGUCAGUGGAUGGUGGAAUUCCCGGUGUAGCGGUGAAAUGCGUAGAGAUCGGGAGGAACAUCAGUGGCGAAGGCGGCCAUCUGGGACAACACUGACGCUGAGGCACGAAAGCGUGGGGAGCAAACAGGAUUAGAUACCCCUGUAGUCCCUGUCUCUUAUAC